rnacentral:rRNA from 1 species
UACGUAGGGGGGCAAGUGUUGUCCGGAUUUAUUGGGCGUAAAGAGCGUGUAGGCGGCUAGGUAGGUGGGUUGUGAAAACUGGAGGCUCAACCUUCAGACGUCGACCCAAACCCCCUGGCUAGAGUCCGGAAGAGGAGAGUGGAAUUCCUGGUGUAGCGGUGAAAUGCGUAGAUAUCGAGAGGAACACCUGCGGCGAAGGCGGGUUGCUGGGCUGAUACUGACGCUGGAGGCGCGAAAGCGUGGGGAGCAAACAGGA